CCUACGGGAGGCAGCAGUAGGGAAUCUUCCGCAAUGGACGAAAGUCUGACGGAGCAACGCCGCGUGAACGAUGAAGGCCUUCGGGUCGUAAAGUUCUGUUGUUAGGGAAGAACAAGUGCUAGUUAAAUAAGCUGGCACCUUGACGGUACCUAACCAGAAAGCCACGGCUAACUACGUGCCAGCAGCCGCGGUAAUACGUAGGUGGCAAGCGUUGUCCGGAAUUAUUGGGCGUAAAGCGCGCGCAGGCGGUUUCUUAAGUCUGAUGUGAAAGCCCCCGGCUCAACCGGGGAGGGUCAUUGGAAACUGGGAAACUUGAGUGCAGAAGAGGAAAGUGGAAUUCCAAGCGUAGCGGUGAAAUGCGUAGAGAUUUGGAGGAACACCAGUGGCGAAGGCGACUUUCUGGUCUGUAACUGACGCUGAGGCGCGAAAAGCGUGGGGAGCAAAACAGGAUUAGAUACCCUGGUAGUCCACGCUGUAAACGAUGAGUGCUAAGUGUUAGAGGGUUUCCGCCCUUUAGUGCUGAAGUUAACGCAUUAAGCACUCCGCCUGGGGAGUACGGUCGCAAGACUGAAACUCAAAAGGAAUUGACGGNGUGAGAGNGCGACGACGACGACGAGGGAGAGG
rnacentral:rRNA from 1 species